rnacentral:rRNA from 1 species
AGAAUCAACGCUGGCGGCGUGCCUAACACAUGCAAGUCGAACGAGAAAGUGGAGCAAUCCAUGAGUAAAGUGGCGCACGGGUGAGUAACACGUGACUAACCUACCCUUGAGUGGGGGAUAACCUAGAGAAAUCUGGGCUAAUACCGCAUAAUACCCACGGGUCAAAGCAGCAAUGCGCUUGGAGAGGAGUUCGCGGCAGAUUAGUUAGUUGGCGGGGUAAUGGCCCACCAAGACGAUGAUCUGUA